GACCGGUGCCAGCCGCCGCGGUAAUACCGGCAGCUCGAGUGGUCGUCGCUUUUAUUGGGCCUAAAACGUCCGUAGCCUGUUUGGUAAAUCUGUGGGUAAAUCAACCAGCUUAACUGGUUGAAUUCUGCAGAGACUGCCAGACUAGGGACCGGGAGAGGUGUGGGGUACUCUAGGGGUAGGGGUAAAAUCCUGUCAUCCUUAGAGGACCACCAGUUGCGAAGGCGCCACACUAGAACGGAUCCGACGGUCAGGGACGAAGCCUAGGGGCACGAACCGGAUUAGAUACCCGGGUAGUCCUAGGUGUAAACGCUGUGAACUUGGUGUCGGGAGUCCGCAAUGGGCCCCCGGUGCCGGAGUGAAGAUGUUAAGUUCACUGCCUGGGGAGUACGGUCGCAAGGCUGAAACUUAAAGGAAUUGGCGGGGGAGCACUGCAACGGGAGGAGCGUGCGGUUU
rnacentral:rRNA from 1 species